CUCAGGUUAUGGCAAUAUUCGACAUUAAAUCAGUCGCUCUUAAGUGGUAUUUCUUCACGGCGUCUAGUGCCUCGGUUUAUGAAGAAUUUUCUCAUGUAUUCAUGAAACAGUUUGGAUUAAAUUCACAGCAAAUUGGGAUUACAAAUCUUUGUGGCGUUCAGCAUAUAUUUAUACCGCUAUCAAUAUGUGGGCGACAGAUAUCGUUUGAGGAAUCUAGUUAUUUGGAUCGUGUCGCUACUUUUGGCUAUAAGUUCUAUACUUCUACUUCUGCCUAUUGUUGUUUCGCUACCUACGUGCUUUGGGACGAAGUCU
rnacentral:lncRNA from 1 species